ACACCUGUGGUGAAGUGUUUAUCAUGCUUGCCUUCCAUUGUUCAAAAAGUUAAAAGGUAGCAAGUGGCACAGGUUCGAUUCCUGUCAGGUGUA
rnacentral:tRNA from 1 species